GGGUCCGGACACACUGAGGAUUGACAGACAAAAGAUACAAGUUUUCUUUGUGAGAGCUUGCAUUGUAAAAUAUGCGAGUCCUUUCAUGAUUAUGUGAUAGGUGGUGCAUGGCCGUUCUUAGUUCGUGGAGUGAUCUGUCUGCUUAAUUGCGUUUCACAACGAUUUAAAAUGCUAUGUUUUCUGUGUUUGCUGUUCGGUUUUAGCUCUUACGGGAGUUUUUAACUUUGAACGCACACGGCGUAGCUUAAAACAAUCGGAAAGCAACGAACGUGACCGCAACCUCUUGUUGCCUUUAUUUUUAAAAGCGUGGAAAAUUUUAUAUUUUCCUACGCUUGAAAAAGGCUUUAAAACUAGAGGGACCGCUGUUCUAUUCUCUUAAACCAGAGGAAGAUUGCGGCAAUAACAGGUCUGUGAUGCCCUCAGAUGUUCCGGGCUGCACACGUGCUACAAUGAUUGUUGCAGUGAGCAUCUAUUUUCAAACGCUACCGUUGCGGAUUUUGUGAGAAGGGGGAUUUGUUUUAAAGCUUUCGGGUGGAGAAGCAGGUUCUUUUUUUUUCACAAUUUAUUCCGCGUUACGUGUCAGCUAAACCUGCUUCGAAAGCAAGUAGGU
rnacentral:rRNA from 1 species